CUUGAAUAAAAGUAGUUAAGUUCUUCAUAACUCAAAGAAUUUGGCGGUUAAUGGAAUUUUCAGAGGAACCUGUAAUUUAAUUGAUAAACCACGAUAGUUUUUACCUUUUAUUUAUUUGUAUAUCUCUAUGGCUAUAGAAUGUUUUAAAAGAAAAUUUUCUUUUAGAUUAUUCAUUUAUUUUAGGUCAAGGUGCAGUUUUUAUUAGGUUAUUAUGGGUUACUUUAUUUUUUAGUUUAUUAUUAAUAAUUUUAUAAUUAAUAGGAUCUGAAAGUAAAGUGAAUUAAUUAAUUUGUUUGAAUUUU
rnacentral:rRNA from 1 species